AACGAACGCUGGCGGCAUGCCUAACACAUGCAAGUCGAACGAUACCUCCGGGUCUAGUGGCGCACGGUUGCGUAACGCGGGGGAACCUGCCCUUAGGCUCGGCAUAACUCUCCGAAAGGGGUGCUAACUCCGGUUAAUUUCUUCGGACCCACGCUUUGUCGCCUUUGUAUCGGCCCGCGUUGGUUUAGCUAGUUGAUAGGGCAAAAGCCUACCAACUCGACGGUCCAUAGCUGGUCUGAGAGGACGACACGCCACACUGGGACUGAGACACGGCCCAGACUCCUGCGGCAGGGAGCAGUGGUGAAUAAUGGGCGAUGGGCGAAAGCCUGGUCCCGCAGUGCGGGGUGAGUGAUGUAGGCCUUAAGAUUGUAAAGCUCUUUUACGCGGGAUGAUAGUCACAGUCCCGAGAGAAUGCGCUCCGGCUAACUCCG
rnacentral:rRNA from 1 species